rnacentral:rRNA from 1 species
GACGAACGCUGGCGGCGUGCCUAAUACAUGCAAGUAGAACGCUGAAGAGAGGAGCUUGCUCUUCUUGGAUGAGUUGCGAACGGGUGAGUAACGCGUAGGUAACCUGCCUUGUAGCGGGGGAUAACUAUUGGAAACGAUAGCUAAUACCGCAUAACAAUGGAUGACACAUGUCAUUUAUUUGAAAGGGGCAAUUGCUCCACUACAAGAUGGACCUGCGUUGUAUUAGCUAGUAGGUGAGGUAACGGCUCACCUAGGCGACGAUACAUAGCCGACCUGAGAGGGUGAUCGGCCACACUGGGACUGAGACACGGCCCAGACUCCUACGGGAGGCAGCAGUAGGGAAUCUUCGGCAAUGGGGGCAACCCUGACCGAGCAACGCCGCGUGAGUGAAGAAGGUUUUCGGAUCGUAAAGCUCUGUUGUAAGUCAAGAACGAGUGUGAGAGUGGAAAGUUCACACUGUGACGGUAGCUUACCAGAAAGGGACGGCUAACUACGUGCCAGCAGCCGCGGUAAUACGUAGGUCCCGAGCGUUGUCCGGAUUUAUUGGGCGUAAAGCGAGCGCAGGCGGUUUGAUAAGUCUGAAGUUAAAGGCUGUGGCUCAACCAUAGUUCGCUUUGGAAACUGUCAAACUUGAGUGCAGAAGGGGAGAGUGGAAUUCCAUGUGUAGCGGUGAAAUGCGUAGAUAUAUGGAGGAACACCGGUGGCGAAAGCGGCUCUCUGGUCUGUAACUGACGCUGAGGCUCGAAAGCGUGGGGAGCGAACAGGAUUAGAUACCCUGGUAGUCCACGCCGUAAACGAUGAGUGCUAGGUGUUGGAUCCUUUCCGGGAUUCAGUGCCGCAGCUAACGCAUUAAGCACUCCGCCUGGGGAGUACGACCGCAAGGUUGAAACUCAAAGGAAUUGACGGGGGCCCGCACAAGCGGUGGAGCAUGUGGUUUAAUUCGAAGCAACGCGAAGAACCUUACCAGGUCUUGACAUCCCGAUGCUAUUUCUAGAGAUAGAAAGUUACUUCGGUACAUCGGUGACAGGUGGUGCGUGGUUGUCGUCAGCUCGUGUCGUGAGAUGUUGGGUUAAGUCCCGCAACGAGCGCAACCCCUAUUGUUAGUUGCCAUCAUUCAGUCGGGCACUCUAGCGAGACUGCCGGUAAUAAACCGGAGGAAGGUGGGGAUGACGUCAAAUCAUCAUGCCCCUUAUGACCUGGGCUACACACGUGCUACAAUGGUUGGUACAACGAGUUGCGAGUCGGUGACGGCAAGCUAAUCUCUUAAAGCCAAUCUCAGUUCGGAUUGUAGGCUGCAACUCGCCUACAUGAAGUCGGAAUCGCUAGUAAUCGCGGAUCAGCACGCCGCGGUGAAUACGUUCCCGGGCCUUGUACACACCGCCCGUCAAGGGCGAAUUCCAGCAC